rnacentral:rRNA from 1 species
UACGUAGGGUGCGAGCGUUAAUCGGAAUUACUGGGCGUAAAGCGUGCGCAGGCGGUUCGCCAAGUCAGGUGUGAAAUCCCCGGGCUUAACCUGGGAAUUGCGCUUGAAACUAGCGAGCUUGAGUGUGGCAGAGGGGGGUGGAAUUCCACGUGUAGCAGUGAAAAUGCGUAGAGAUGUGGAGGAACACCGAUGGCGAAGGCAGCCCCCUGGGUCAACACUGACGCUCGAUGCACGAAAGCGUGGGGAGCAAACAGG